rnacentral:rRNA from 1 species
GAUGAACGCUGGCGGCGUGCCUAAUACAUGCAAGUCGAGCGAACAGACGAGGAGCUUGCUCCUCUGACGUUAGCGGCGGACGGGUGAGUAACACGUGGAUAACCUACCUAUAAGACUGGGAUCACUUCGGGAAACCGGAGCUAAUACCGGAUAAUAUAUUGAACCGCAUUGUUCAAUAGUGAAAGACGGUUUUGCUGUCACUUAUAGAUGGAUCCGCGCCGCAUUAGCUAGUUGGUAAGGUAAAGGGUUACCAAGGCAACGAUGCGUAACCGACCUGAGAGAGUGGUCGGCCACACUGGAACUGAGACACGGUCCAGACGCCUACGGGAGGCAGCAGUAGGGAAUCUUCCGCAAUGGGCGAAAGCAUGACAGAGCAAGGCCGCGUGAGUGAUGAAGGUCUUCGGAUCGGAAAACUCUGUUAUUAGGGAAGAACAAAUGUGUAAGUAACUAUGCACGUCUUGACGGUACCUAAUCAGAAAGCCACGGCUAACUACGUG